AUGCAACUCAUCCUUCUCUUUUCUUUCUGUCUUCUUUUCCCUCCUUUACCUCACUAAAAAUGAUUUGUCGUCUUUUUUCACCCUCACUUAAACCCUAACAUCUAUUUUGCCUAAUCUCUUCUUCUAUUUUUUGUUUCCUACUCAUUUCUGUCCUCAUUUCACCGUAGGUAUAGUCUUCACCUUCAAAUCCAAAAGGGUAAAAUCAAGAUAUCAUUUGAAUUUGAUGAUUUGGGUAUUGUUACCCAGAAACUCUUCAAACGAUAUUCUUGCUUUUUUCUUUAUGGGCUUUCAACAUCGACGGCAGAAUGGGUAGGAGAUCAGUAGAUGGUUACAUCGAUGGGUUUACUGGGUUUGCUGUUGGCCUAUUGUAAUGAAUCCGUAUGUGUAAUGUGUAAUCGUUUUUUCCUUCUUGUGUAAUUGAUUUGUGUAAUGUGUAUUUGUUGUGUUAAUUUGUUAUUGAUUAGUGUAAUUGUAUUUUUUGUGAUUCACUUCUUGAUUUGUGUAAUUGAUUAGUGUAAUGUGUUGAUCAUGUGAGUUGAGAAA
rnacentral:misc_RNA from 1 species